ACACUGGGACUGAGACACGGCCCAGACUCUUACGGGAGGCAGCAGUAGGGAAUCUUCCGCAAUGGACGAAAGUCUGACGGAGCAACGCCGCGUGAGUGAUGAAGGUUUUCGGAUCGUAAAACUCUGUUGUUAGGGAAGAACAAGUACCGUUCGAAUAGGGCGGUACCUUGACGGUACCUAACCAGAAAGCCACGGCUAACUACGUGCCAGCAGCCGCGGUAAUACGUAGGUGGCAAGCGUUGUCCGGAAUUAUUGGGCGUAAAGCGCGCGCAGGCGGUUUCUUAAGUCUGAUGUGAAAGCCCCCGGCUCAACCGGGGAGGGUCAUUGGAAACUGGGGAACUUGAGUGCAGAAGAGGAGAGUGGAAUUCCACGUGUAGCGGUGAAAUGCGUAGAGAUGUGGAGGAACACCAGUGGCGAAGGCGACUCUCUGGUCUGUAACUGACGCUGAGGCGCGAAAGCGUGGGGAGCGAACAGGAUUAGAUACCCUGGUAGUCCACGCCGUAAACGAUGAGUGCUAAGUGUUAGAGGGUUUCCGCCCUUUAGUGCUGCAGCAAACGCAUUAAGCACUCCGCCUGGGGAGUACGGUCGCAAGACUGAAACUCAAAGGAAUUGACGGGGGCCCGCACAAGCGGUGGAGCAUGUGGUUUAAUUCGAAGCAACGCGAAGAACCUUACCAGGUCUUGACAUCCUCUGACAACCCUAGAGAUAGGGCUUCCCCUUCGGGGGCAGAGUGACAGGUGGUGCA
rnacentral:rRNA from 1 species